rnacentral:lncRNA from 1 species
CCGUUUGUUCUUAAAAGCAGGGAGCAAGAUUCGAAUAAUCUUCAGCAACCUCGUUUCCUCCUCUCCUCCACUGAAGUCUUCAAUCUCUUUCUCAGCCGAUGAAACCUCCGCCCCUUCCACAUCCUCUGUCUCCUCAAUGAAAGGAGUCACUGAUUCAUCAUUUUCGCUAAGAUAUUGUGUCUCCUCCAAGGCCUUUGAAUCCUCGACGUAUUCACCGACCAAGGUAGUACCUGAAGUUUCAAGCGAUGGAUCAGGACCGUAGGGCAAGAUCUAGAAGGAUCUGAAGUUUCGAUUGGUGGAUCAGGACCAUAGGGCAAGAUCUGAGAAGGAUUUGGGGUUUCAAUUGGUAUUUCUAUACUGUGGUCGAAGAAACUUGACGAAUCUGAAGUUUCAAGCGGUGGUUCAAUACCGUUGAGCAAGAACUUCGAAGGAUUUGAAGUUUCAAUUGGUGGCAUCACGACGGAUCAGAAAAAAUUAGGCUUCGUAGAAGGGUGGUGUCGACUGAGAAGUGAGAGAGACGAAUAGAGAGAAGAAGAGUUGUGAUAGAAAUGAAAGGCCGAGAAUUAGGGUUAGAAAAAGUGGGCUCUUAAUUGGACUUAGAUUAGGAUUUAAUUAAAGGCCUAAUUCCUUUCUUUUUUGGAAACCCGCC